UACGUAGGUCCCGAGCGUUGUCCGGAUUUAUUGGGCGUAAAGCGAGCGCAGGUGGUUUAAUAAGUCUGAUGAAAAAGGCAGUGGCUCAACCAUUGUGUGCAUUGGAAACUGUUAGACUUGAGUGCAGUAGAGGAGAGUGGAAUUCCAUGUGUAGCGGUGAAAUGCGUAGAUAUAUGGAGGAACACCGGUGGCGAAAGCGGCUCUCUGGACUGUAACUGACACUGAGGCUCGAAAGCGUGGGUAGCAAACAGG
rnacentral:rRNA from 1 species